CAUCAUCGUGUGUAAAACACUGGCACAAACAAAGAAAUUGGGGGUAAGGAGGGAGAAAAAGGAGAGACAGAGACAAGGAAGAGUGAGCGAGAGAGAGAGAGAGAGAGACAUGGGGUGUGACCUGUGUACUGUGUUGAUACAUGGUACCAGAUUCAUAAUAGUCUAAGUCCCUCACAGUAUCGUAGUACUGCAGUUACAUUCUAGUAUUCCAGUCUAUUACUGUAUGUUAUCAAAAACAACAACAAUGUCUCGGUGUAGCAGCAGGUGUCGCUCUUGUUCAAUCCUGUGUGGGUGUGGUAGUGAAGCAGGUGAACAGGGCCGUCACAGAGCAGCCAGAGGCGGAGUCACAGGCUCCGCCUCUGGCUGCUCCACUUCACACCAAGCUGUCGUGGCCAGUUGAAGUCAAACCAUCAGGGAGAAAUGAACUGAGAUGCGGUGGAACUCAGAUCGCCUCAGGUGUCUGCUGCUGCUCUGCCUGUGUUUCCUCACAGCCACCUGGAUCAAAUCCAAACGCCAUGAUGCAGCAGGUUCUGCUUUGGGUCUGUCCUGGGGGGCCACGGGGGCCCCGGGGGCCACAGCGCUGUCGGACCUGCAGCUGCUGUAUCAGAGACUCCUGGCAGCUGAGGAGUUGGGGGGGCAGGUGUCCAGGAACCUCAGCAGUAUCCUGGAGCAUCUGAGAGCUCAGUCCAAGGUCAGCAGCACUGAGCGGUCCAGCACCCCCACAGACAAAACACAGCAGCCGGUGAUCGGGGGGGGUGAUCAGGCCCAGCAGCUGCACCUGGACCUCAGCAUCUACCUCCACCUGCCCCACCUCAGACACAGUCCAAACAGCCUCGUCCCCAAAACAGUGCUGGGACAGGGACGCCGUGGAGGUACGGAGCAUCUUAGCACACAAGAAGAAGAAGAAGCUGCUGCGAUUGAUCAGAAAAAUGGAACUCUGUGUGUGUGUGGGUGUGGGUGUGUGUGUGUGUGUGUGUGUCUUUCAGUGUCCGUCGUACUGGGAGUCCCUACAGUGAAGAGAGACAAACAGAGCUACCUGAUCAACACCAUCAACUCUCUGCUCUACGGACUCUCUUCUUCACAACAUCAAGACCUCCUCAUCGUUGUCUUAGUCGCCGAGGUGGACUUUCAGUACGUGAACGCUGUCGCUCAGACCAUCGGGACAAAUUUUCCCAGAGAGGUUCGCUCAGGGUUGCUGGAGGUCAUCUCCCCUCCAGAGGAAUACUACCCUGACCUGAGCCACCUGACGGAGACCCUGGGCGACUCCCAGGACAGAGUGAGAUGGAGAACCAAGCAAAUUCUAGACUUCAGUUUCCUUAUGAUGUAUUCCAAGGACAGAGGAGCCUACUAUGUUCAGCUGGAGGACGACAUUGUUGCUAAAGAAGAUUAUUAUCAGCAGAUGAAGACCUACGUCACUCAGGAAGCAUCUAAACCAUGGCUUUACCUGGAGUUCUCCCAACUAGGCUUUAUAGGGAAGUUGUUUCGGACUCGUGACCUGCCUGUGAUUGUUGACUUCUUCCUGAUGUUCCAUAAAGACAAGCCCAUCGAUUGGUUGUUGGAUUACAUGCUGUGGGUGAAAGUGUGCCACCCUGAGAAAGAUGUGGCACACUGUGAUCAACAGAGGGCGCAGCUCAGGCAGAGGUACAAGCCGUCUCUCUUCCAGCACAUGGGCCUCCACUCCUCUCUGUCUGGAAAAGUUCAGCACCUCAAGGAUAAGGACUUUGGGACGCAGGUUCUGUACCAUCCUCACAGUAACCCUGCAGCAGAACUGGAGACCAGCCUGAAACAUUACAGAGGCCACAGUCUGGACCGGGCCUACAGAGGUCAGGACUUCUUCUGGGCUCAAACACCUAACCAGGGGGACUACGUCCUCAUCAGGUUCCCUAAGCCUCUCCAUGUGUCACGAUUCCUGUUUCGCAGUGGAAACAUUGAAAACAGUAAAGAUAAACUGUACAACACCACAGUGGAGGUUCUGCCCAGCACGGUCUCCACAGGACACACAGAGUCUGACGGCUUCAGAGUUGUUGGGGCCUUUGAAGACGGACUAGCUGCUGGGCAGAUUGAAAAUGGGCUGCAGCCCAUCUGGGCUCUACGUCUGGUGGUCCAUGCUAGUUCAGAUGUGUGGACUCUACUCAGUGAGGUGUGACCUGGGAGCUCACUCACACUAACUAACCAACUAACUGGACUAGUUUCAGCAGCCUCGUAGGUCAGGGGUUAGUUAGAGUCAAAGGGUGACGGGGGUGUACAGCACCAGUGAUCAGAGCACUGGACCGCUCUGGUCCCUGAGCCCUGAAGCCCAGCACCCCAGAUUCACAUUGAAGUCUGAUGACCGGAUCAACCGAUACACACACACACACACACACACACACUAACCACUGUGUUGACAAGUGUUCGUGUGAGCAGACAGAAGUGGUGCAAAUAAAACAGACCCAGAUGUCUACGACCG